rnacentral:rRNA from 1 species
UACAGAGGGGGCAAGCGUUGUUCGGAAUUACUGGGCGUAAAGGGCGCGUAGGCGGCCCGCUAAGUCGAACGUGAAAUCCCCGGGCUCAACCCGGGAACUGCGUCCGAUACUGGUGGGCUUGAAUCCGGGAGAGGGAUGCGGAAUUCCAGGUGUAGCGGUGAAAUGCGUAGAUAUCUGGAGGAAUACCGGUGGCGAAGGCGGCAUCCUGGACCAUUACUGACGCUGAGGCGCGAAAGCUAGGGGAGCAAAUGGG